rnacentral:miRNA from 1 species
CCACUGCUUGAUGGGCCGAAGU